GGAGGGUGUGACUAGUGACAGAGUUAGGGAGGGAAGGGGUAACUAGUGACAGAGGGAGGGGUGACUAGGGACAGAGUGAGGGAGAUGGUGACUAGUGACAGUCAUCACCUCUGUCACUAGUCACCACCUCCCUCCCUCUGUCACCAGUCAUCCCCUUACUCUGUCACUAGUCACCCCUUCCUUCCCUCUCUCUGCCACUAGUCACCCCUUCCCUCACUCUGUCACUAGUCACCCCCUCAC